ACACAUUACAAAUUACAACAAAUUCUAAGUUACACAUUCAAACAUAAACCAAAAUUACUUGAAGAAAUUUCAAUUCAUAACCCAAUUUCAAAUCAUAAUCCAUGUUCAAGUUCACAUCUUAGCCACUUUCACAAUAUAUCACAAUUCAAGCAAAUUCAAAUCUAAUUACACUAAAUGAAAUUCAUCCUCAUCUUCAUAUACCUUCACUUUUUGAAAAUU
rnacentral:lncRNA from 1 species